rnacentral:rRNA from 1 species
UACGAGGGGGGCAAGCGUUGUUCGGAUUUACUGGGCGUAAAGCGCACGUAGGCGGAUCGUUAAGUCGGGGGUGAAAUCCUGGAGCUCAACUCCAGAACUGCCUUCGAUACUGGCGAUCUUGAGUCCGGAAGAGGUGGGUGGAACUCCUAGUGUAGAGGUGGAAUUCGUAGAUAUUAGGAAGAACACCAGUGGCGAAGGCGGCUCACUGGUCCGGUACUGACGCUCAGGCGCGACAGCGUGGGGAUCAAACAGG